rnacentral:rRNA from 1 species
CCUACGGGUGGCAGCAGUGGGGGAUAUUGCACAAUGGGGGGAACCCUGAUGCAGCGACGCCGCGUGGGUGAAGGAGUGCUUCGGCAUGUAAAGCCCUAUCGGCAGGGAAGAAGCAAGACGGUACCUGACGAAGAAGCCCCGGCCAACUACGUGCCAGCAGCCGCGGUAAUACGGAGGGGGCGCGCGUUAUCCGGAUUCACUGGGUGUAACGGGAGCGUAGACGGCCAUGCAAGCCAGGGGUGAAAGCCCCGGGCCCAACCCCGGGAGUGCCCUUGGAACUGGGCGGCUAGAGUGCGGGAGGGGCAGGCGGAAUUCCUGGUGUAGCGGUGAAAUGCGUAGAUAUCAGGAGGAACACCGGCGGUGAAGGCGGCCUGCUGGACUGCGACUGACGUUGAGGCUCGAAAGCGUGGGGAGCGAACAGGAUUAGAUACCCUAGUAGUC